GACGAACGCUGGCGGCGCGCCUAACACAUGCAAGUCGAACGAGCGAGAGAGAGCUUGCUUUCUCGAGCGAGUGGCGAACGGGUGAGUAACGCGUGAGGAACCUGCCUCAAAGAGGGGGACAACAGUUGGAAACGACUGCUAAUACCGCAUAAGCCCACGGCUCGGCCUCGAGCAGGGGGAAAAGGAGCAAUCCGCUUUGAGAUGGCCUCGCGUCCGAUUCGCUAGUUGGUGGGGUAACGGCCCACCAAGGCGACGAUCGGUAGCCGGACUGAGAGGUUGAACGGCCACAUUGGGACUGAGACACGGCCCAGACUCCUACGGGAGGCAGCAGUGGGGAAUAUUGCACAAUGGGGGAAACCAUGAUGCAGCGACGCCGCGUGGAGGAAGAAGGUCUUCGGAUUGUAAACUCCUGUUGUUGGGGAAGAUAAUGACGGUACCCAACAAGGAAGUGACGGCUAACUACGUG
rnacentral:rRNA from 1 species